rnacentral:rRNA from 1 species
AACGAACGCUGGCGGCAUGCCUAACACAUGCAAGUCGAACGAGACCUUCGGGUCUAGUGGCGCACGGGUGCGUAACACGUGGGAAUCUGCCCUUUGCUUCGGAAUAACAGUUAGAAAUGACUGCUAAUACCGGAUGAUGUCGAAAGACCAAAGAUUUAUCGGCAAAGGAUGAGCCCGCGUAAGAUUAGGUAGUUGGUGGGGUAAAGGCCUACCAAGCCGACGAUCCUUAGCUGGUCUGAGAGGAUGAUCAGCCACACUGGGACUGAGACACGGCCCAGACUCCUACGGGAGGCAGCAGUGGGGAAUAUUGGACAAUGGGCGAAAGCCUGAUCCAGCAAUGCCGCGUGAGUGAUGAAGGCCUUAGGGUUGUAAAGCUCUUUUACCAGGGAUGAUAAUGACAGUACCUGGAGAAUAAGCUCCGGCUAACUCCGUG